UUAACAUCAGUAGCGGCGGACGGGUUAGUAACGCGUGGGAACGUGCCCAGCUCUGCGGAAUAGCCUCUGGAAACGGAGAGUAAUACCGCAUACGCCCUUCGGGGGAAAGAAUUUCGGAGUUGGAUCGGCCCGCGUUAGAUUAGGUAGUUGGUGGGGUAACGGCCUACCAAGCCUACGAUCUAUAGCUGGUUUGAGAGGAUGAUCAGCAACACUGGGACUGAGACACGGCCCAGACUCCUACGGGAGGCAGCAGUGGGGAAUCUUCGGCAAUGGGCGCAAGCCUGACCGAGCCAUGCCGCGUGAGCGAUGAAGGCCUUAGGGUUGUAAAGCUCUUUCGCCAGGGAUGAUAAUGACAGUACCUGGUAAAGAAACCCCGGCUAACUCCGUGCCAGCAGCCGCGGUAAUACGGAGGGGGUUAGCGUUGUUCGGAAUUACUGGGCGUAAAGCGCGCGUAGGCGGAUUGGAAAGUUAGAGGUGAAAUCCCAGGGCUCAACCCUGGAACUGCCUUUAAAACUCCCAGUCUUGAGUUCGAGAGAGGUGAGUGGAAUUCCGAGUGUAGAGGUGAAAUUCGUAGAUAUUCGGAGGAACACCAGUGGCGAAGGCGGCUCACUGGCUCGAUACUGACGCUGAGGUGCGAAAGUGUGGGGAG
rnacentral:rRNA from 1 species